CCUUUAAUGUUUGAUGUUCUAACGUGGACCCGUAAUCCGGGUUGCGGACAGUGUCUGGUGGGUAGUUUGACUGGGGCGGUCUCCUCCUAAAGAGUAACGGAGGAGCACGAAGGUUGGCUAAUCCUGGUCGGACAUCAGGAGGUUAGUGCAAUGGCAUAAGCCAGCUUGACUGCGAGCGUGACGGCGCGAGCAGGUGCGAAAGCAGGUCAUAGUGAUCCGGUGGUUCUGAAUGGAAGGGCCAUCGCUCAACGGAUAAAAGGUACUCCGGGGAUAACAGGCUGAUACCGCCCAAGAGUUCAUAUCGACGGCGGUGUUUGGCACCUCGAUGUCGGCUCAUCACAUCCUGGGGCUGAAGUAGGUCCCAAGGGUAUGGCUGUUCGCCAUUUAAAGUGGUACGCGAGCUGGGUUUAGAACGUCGUGAGACAGUUCGGUCCCUAUCUGCCGUGGGCGCUGGAGAACUGAGGGGGGCUGCUCCUAGUACGAGAGGACCGGAGUGGACGCAUCACUGGUGUUCGGGUUGUCAUGCCAAUGGCACUGCCCGGUAGCUAAAUGCGGAAGAGAUAAGUGCUGAAAGCAUCUAAGCACGAAACUUGCCCCGA
rnacentral:rRNA from 5 species